GACGUAGGGUGCAAGCGUUGUCCGGAUUUACUGGGCGUAAAGAGCGCGUAGGCGGCUUGUUAAGUGUGAAGUUAAAUCUCCAGGCUCAACCUGGAAACCAUUUCGCAUACUGGCGAGCUGGAGGGAUGGAGAGGUUAGUGGAAUUCCUGGUGUAGCGGUGAAAUGCGUAGAUAUCAGGAGGAACACCCAUGGCGAAGGCAGCUAACUGGCCAUUUUCUGACGCUGAGGCGCGAAAGCGUGGGUAGCAAACAGG
rnacentral:rRNA from 1 species